GCUCAAUGGGUUAGUUCUUCAUGUGCCUGUGUUCUCCAUCGUGACCGCUCGCCUUAGUAUUGUGUACUACUACGCAUGAUUGAUUGUACGCAUUUCAUUAAUCUGCUGUAUACUACUGCAUAGAGAUCUGUUGCAGCGGCAACAUAUCCGUGGCAAAAUCCGAUAUUAAGAGAGAGCUAGGAGCCAUCACUCCCAGCCGGGUAAGUCCAUUAUGUCGAACUCAAACUUAAAUCCCCAGCAUCGAAAUUGAUGAAAGAAACAUAUGCUAGUAGUAUAAUUCAUGGCCAAUUUUUUUUUUCCUGAAAAGCAUUAGGCAGCCAGCUUUCAACUUCAAUUUGAUGAUUACGAUUUAGAUCAUAAUGAUGAAGGGCAAUGCUCUCGAGACCAACAUUAUGGCAAAGAAAAAGGUAAUACUAUAUAUGAAUUGAGUGGUCUAGAUUAGUGAGUGAUGGAAGAGAUUUUUUUUUUUUUUUUUGGGCCUCAAGCUUUUCAGCAAAUUAAAGCAAGGUUGAAAGGCACCGGAUAGAGGUCGACUUCAGCUAUAAGUUUUACGGCAGAUUGGUUUAUUACCAGUAAGUAGAGCACGUGAAUUAUUGUAGAACAAAAGCGAGGAUGCACCUUAUGGUAAGCUGAACAGUCACCAUCCCGGCGAUGAUGUUAGAUGAUGAGCAGCAGACAGUUCGGCCACUAGGUAUCCCUGAUCAAAAAGGCACUCUUCUUUGACUUGAAAACGUAUUGUUCUCUGAUCGAUGCUGCUCCUAAAUAACUCUGGAACUUCUUCGUUAGUGGUCUCGCAGUGGUGUAAAGGGCAAAAAAAAAUUUCCCCAUUUUUAUGCAACUGAAAGCAUCGGCAACUUAGGGAUCAGAAAUCCUUAAAAGACCACACGAUUUCGAGGACAGAGAAAGGCAGCUGACGUGAUUAUGGUCUGAAUGCAAUUCUAUGGACACCAACUAGAAUAUCUGUUCAAUAAUGCGGUGGACAUCAAACAUUAUAUACUACUGCGUAUUAAGGGCCUUGCUGGACGGGACCAUGCUGCAAUACUUCCUGCUUGUGGGUAAGUUGGCUUGAAAGCUCUCGUGUCAUUGCCAACCCGGCUGGCCUGCCCCAAGUAUAAUACGUGUCCUUGUAGUAAUAGGUAUGUAAAUGAUGACCACUAAAUUAUUCUCUUUAACUAAUUUUGUUUUGGGUUUUUGGGUAUAUGGGCGCGGUUGCUAAGGCAUCAUUUAGAUAGCAAGUUUUUGAAUUUUCUUAGAAAAAUAUACUAUAAUGAUGCAAUGUGUAUGAGUGAAAAAAAAAAAAAGCGAUUGAGAAAUGUACGGAAAAAACUUUUCUGCA